rnacentral:rRNA from 1 species
UACGUAGGGGGCAAGCGUUGUCCGGAUUUAUUGGGCGUAAAGAGCGUGUAGGCGGCCAUGUAGGUCCGUUGUGAAAACUCGAGGCUCAACCUCGAGACGCCGAUGGAAACCAUGUGGCUAGAGUCCGGAAGAGGAGAGUGGAAUUCCUGGUGUAGCGGUGAAAUGCGCAGAUAUCAGGAAGAACACCCGUGGCUAAGGCGGCUCUCUAGGCAUUACCUGACGCUGAGGAGCGAAAGCAUGGGGAGCGAACAGG